rnacentral:rRNA from 1 species
GAUGAACGCUGGCGGCGUGCCUAAUACAUGCAAGUCGAGCGAACGGACGAGAGGCUUGCUUCUCUGAUGUUAGCGGCGGACGGGUGAGUAACACGUGGAUAACCUACCUAUAAGACUGGGAUAACUUCGGGAAACCGUAGCUAAUACCGGAUAAUAUUUUGAACCGCAUGGUUCAAAAGUGAAAGACGGUCUUGCUGUCACUUAUAGAUGGAUCCGCGCUGCAUUAGCUAGUUGGUAAGGUAACGGCUUACCAAGGCAACGAUGCAUAGCCGACCUGAGAGGGUGAUCGGCCACACUGGAACUGAGACACGGUCCAGACUCCUACGGGGGGCAGCAGUAGGGAAUCUUCCGCAAUGGGCGAAAGCCUGACGGAGCAACGCCGCGUGAGUGAUGAAGGUCUUCGGAUCGUAAAACUCUGUUAUUAGGGAAGAACAUAUGUGUAAGUAACUGUGCACAUCUUGACGGUACCUAAUCAGAAAGCCACGGCUAACUACGUG